rnacentral:rRNA from 1 species
UGAGACAGGUGCUGCAUGGCUGUCGUCAGCUCGUGUUGUGAAAUGUUGGGUUAAGUCCCGCAACGAGCGCAACCCUUAUCCUUUGUUGCCAGCGGUCCGGCCGGGAACUCAAAGGAGACUGCCAGUGAUAAACUGGAGGAAGGUGGGGAUGACGUCAAGUCAUCAUGGCCCUUACGAGUAGGGCUACACACGUGCUACAAUGGCGCAUACAAAGAGAAGCGACCUCGCGAGAGCAAGCGGACCUCAUAAAGUGCGUCGUAGUCCGGAUUGGAGUCUGCAACUCGACUCCA